ensembl:lncRNA
CAGACGGACACACGCACGUUUCUGGGAUUGCAGAGCAAAACACAAGUACCGUUCAUCUCUUGUACUCUCUACUCUCGACCCUUUAAAAAGAAAUAUAUAAAAAAGUCUUUAUUCUAGGCAACACAGAUGGGGGAAGCGAGUCCAACAUUGUGUUUUAUGAUAUUUGUUGACAAUAAGAAAUAUAGAAUACCACCAUCCUUAUCCUUUAACUACAAAAUAAUUAGCACUCAGACCGAGAAUAUCCCCUGGAAACAGCUUUGCUACAGGCUCGUUACAUCCAUGAAACAUGUUCAAAUGAAGGCCAACAUGAUAAUGGGUGAUUAUAGUAAUUAAUAGACUGAACUAAUUACUUUAGCCAGUUGAGAUUCAUUUAAUGCUGAAGAGUAAGUGGUGUGUGUUUGAGUGGAGCCUGCCCAACUGAAACUGACUCAUUUCUAAUUAAUCAUACUCCUCUGCUUCCUUACAGUAUCUUUAGCGUUGUCUGAUAACUGGUGUCACUUUAGUUAGCUCCUGUCUGUUUAAAAAGAAAAAAAAAAAACAGUAUGGUCCUCACAGCAUCUUCUUAGGCACUAUUUUAUUCCCUGAACAGCUCACUUGGAAAAUCCGUCCUGAUGUCCUGACUUGUCUGUGGAGCAUGAUUUCACUGAUUCCUGCCCCCCUUUUUAUGAUGACUCCUUGAUUGUCAUCUGAAGAUGGUCUGUGGGACAUGCAUGUCAUGUUAAUAAAGGCAUUAAAACCCGUGUAUCCCUCCACCACAGAACAAAGUCUGGACCUGUCCGCGAAUAUAGAUCUCUAAUUGCUUUUGCGUGGUGGUGCAGCAGAAUUGUGCUUCCCAGAUGUCACGUCUGCCAAACCCCGGUGCACAUCACUGUCAGUGGGCCUGAGAAAUCUCCCUAACAAGCUUGUGAUUACAUAAAUCUAUAGCUGCAGUGUCGCCAAAGAGACUGAAUAACUUUCAAGGAGACUUCAUGUUUGAUGUUCCCGGGCUUGAUUGCAAAGAGGAAAAAAA